GGUACUACUGAUUUUGAAAUUCAUUCCGCAAGCUAUUACUCGUCAGAUUUUCUUCAUUGAUGGCUUAAAAUUUUGGAAAUAUAUUCAAGUUUUAUGAUCCGGUUGUCAGUCAUACUUAACGGUCGAUUUUCAGUAUAGAUAUGAAAAAUCUUUGAAAUAGAUGUGAAAAAAAAAUCGUUUACGACUUUGUAAACACCACUGACACUCGGAUUCAUAAAUUCCAGAACUCUCUCCUUCCACACGUAUCCAUGGUUUCACAUGGAAAACAAUAGCGGCUUGCGGAAUUGAUUGUAUAUUUGUAUGAGCAGGGCGUGGUUUUCACGCAAAAAAUCUGCGAAAAGAGUUAUCUGUUCUUGACUUCCGGAAAUGACGUAUCCGCCAUUGUGUCUAACAUGAAACAUGUAACAAAAUGACUUUUACCGACUAUUUUUUGGACGGACUGCUUACUGAGAGGACAGACAACAUUGGAAAUAGGCCACGGAGGCCAAUCACGUAAGGAAUGAUACUGUCUGUCCAUCCAUCUGCCUGAAAGGAUCUUCUCCCAGUUAGACAGUCUCAUCAGAGUCAUGUGGAGAGUCACUAUACCAACGCCCUGGAGGGAAAUACCAAUAUUGGACUCAAAACCCAUACAGUGAAUUGGUUAGAAAGUUUGGAUGAAGCACAUCCUGAACAUAUAUGGUAAAUUCUGGUGAAGAAACAGCUCAGACCUGAAAAUAUAUACUU